rnacentral:misc_RNA from 1 species
GUUAUCAAGCACAAUAAAUUUUUACACGAAUGCCAUCCAGAAAAGAAAAGCACAUCUCUGCUCAAAUAAUUCAAACUUAACUAGAUAAGCCAUACUUACUUAAACAUACCAAGAAACCUGGUGAUAUUUGUUAAAAACCAAAAAUGUGAGUCGAUCAAUCUUCUAAUUUCACAUAAGAGGCUAAAAAUUUGCUUAUGUUAUGUUUGGAUGCGAUGAUUUGAAAGAAGAGAUUUGGAUUUGGAUUUAAUUUUAGUUUAAAUAGUGCAAAUAAAAUUUGAUUCAUUGUUUACUAUAACUGUAGUUGAAAACUUAUUUGAAGUGAAUUUCAUAGGACAUAUCAAAUCAACACUUAAAAGAUUUUUUUUUU